rnacentral:rRNA from 1 species
GACGAACGCUGGCGGCGUGCUUAACACAUGCCAGUCGAACGGAAAGGCCCUGCUUUUGUGGGGUGCUCGAGUGGCGAACGGGUGAGUAACACGUGAGUAACCUGCCCUUGACUUUGGGAUAACUUCAGGAAACUGGGGCUAAUACCGGAUAGGAGCUCCUGCUGCAUGGUGGGGGUUGGAAAGUUUCGGCGGUUGGGGAUGGACUCGCGGCCUAUCAGCUUGUUGGUGGGGUAGUGGCUUACCAAGGCUUUGACGGGUAGCCGGCCUGAGAGGGUGACCGGCCACAUUGGGACUGAGAUACGGCCCAGACUCCUACGGGAGGCAGCAGUGGGGAAUAUUGCACAAUGGGCGGAAGCCUGAUGCAGCAACGCCGCGUGCGGGAUGACGGCCUUCGGGUUGUAAACCGCUUUCGCCUGUGACGAAGCGUGAGUGACGGUAAUGGGUAAAGAAGCACCGGCUAACUACGUG